CAGCAGCCGCGGUAAUACGAAGGGGGCUAGCGUUGUUCGGAUUUACUGGGCGUAAAGCGCACGUAGGCGGAUCGAUCAGUCAGGGGUGAAAUCCCAGAGCUCAACUCUGGAACUGCCUUUGAUACUGUCGAUCUGGAGUAUGGAAGAGGUGAGUGGAAUUCCGAGUGUAGAGGUGAAAUUCGUAGAUAUUCGGAGGAACACCAGUGGCGAAGGCGGCUCACUGGUCCAUUACUGACGCUGAGGUGCGAAAGCGUGGGGAGCAAACAGGAUUAGAUACCCCCGUAGUCCCUGUCUCUUAUAC
rnacentral:rRNA from 1 species